GCAUCAGAAUUCUGUCAGCAUUGUCCCAAUCCAAAAACAUGCAAGCCACAGGAGAUUCAGACCAAGAUGUCGGAGGGCGAGCGGCCAUUCGAAAACGCACAGGACGACGGCAAUGAUGACGGAGAUGAUGUGCUUAGCAUGGAGGAGGAGCUGUGCUUAAGACUUGACACUAUGAGGGACUUUUUCCUCCAGCAGCUGAAGGCCAUAAGAUACUCGCUGUUUUCAUCUCAGACCAAGGUGCACAAGGAUUUAAAAGCCUUCAAGGAGUCCAUCUUGACGGAGGAGCUGAAUUUCUACAGAGAGAGGCUAGAGGCAAAGGUAACAUCUGACUUCCAGCUGCUGGAGGAAAACUGCAAUUCUGCUAAACGUGAUGUUGUUGAAAUGGUGAAGGCCGUUGGGGAAUCUGUGACCAAGAGGAUGGAUGCGGUGGACAGGAUAUUCCUGGCUUCGAGGAUCACUGCAAUGGAAGCGGAGGUCCGCAACACGGUGCCUUCUUUUGAAGCGAGCACGCCGACACGCCGUGCUCAUGGCCUUUUGAGCAGAGCUGAAGCACUUUCCUCCACCCAGGUGACAGAUGUGGGACAAGACACGGAGAUCUUCCUGGACCUUCAGAGUGUGGCUUCUUCAUCUCCGAUCAGCCCUGGUCAGCGUGCGGUGUUGACCACAGCAACGUCCUUUGAAUCCAGCUCUGACCAGAACCCAGAACGAGAUGAAGCACUUUCCUCCACCCAGGUGACAGAUGUGGGACGCGACACUGAGAUCUUCCUGGACCUUCAGAGUGCGGCCUCUCCGUCUCAGAUUGGCCCGAGUCAGCUUGCGGUGUUGACCACAACAACGUCCUUUGAAUCCAGCUCUGACCAGAACCCAGAACGAGAUGAAGCACUUUCCUCCACCCAGGUGACAGAUGUGGGACGUUCCCACUCUUUAAUUAGUCUAGGGGAAUGGAGGAAUACGUAACAAAGAAAAGGAAAAUCCACAUGGAGCCUCUCAUCCCAGUCCCAGCUCUGAAGAACACUGCCAACCACUAAAGGAUCCACUAUAAUUUGAUUUAUUAUAUUUCUUUAACACAUGCAGGAGUAGCAAGAACAAAGCAAACAGGCUUCAGGAGGGGGCAUAGCCAAAAUAACAAACAAAACAGCAGCUUACUCCAUUUUGAAACUAACUUACCUAGCACAGGGACAAAAAUAAAUAACAAAAAAAGACAAUAUACUUCCUUAACUACCUAACUUUUCCAAAAAACAGGAGAAAAGGAGUUAAAAG
ensembl:lncRNA